rnacentral:tRNA from 1 species
GCCUUCGUGGUGUAAUAGUCAGCACGCUCUACGCUUAUUCGAGAGGUCGGGGGUUCGAAUCCUGGCGAGGGCA